CCUACGGGCGGCAGCAGUGAGGAAUAUUGGUCAAUGGACGCAAGUCUGAACCAGCCAUGCCGCGUGCAGGAAGACGGCUCUAUGAGUUGUAAACUGCUUUUGUACGAGGGUAAACGCAGAUACGCGUCUCUGUCUGAAAGUAUCGUACGAAUAAGGAUCGGCUAACUCCGUGCCAGCAGCCGCGGUAAUCCGGAGGAUUCAAGCGUUAUCCGGAUUUAGUGGGUUUAAAGGGUGCGUAGGCGGUCGGAUAAGUUAGAGGUGAAAUCCCGAGGCUCAACUUCGGAAUUGCCUCUGUUACUGUUCGGCUAGAGAGUAGUUGCGGUAGGCGGAAUGUAUGGUGUAGCGGUGAAAUGCUUAGAGAUCAUACAGAACACCGAUUGCGAAGGCAGCUUACCAAGCUACUUCUGACGUUGAGGCACGAAAGCGUGGGGAGCAAACAGGAUUAGAUACCCGGGUAGUC
rnacentral:rRNA from 1 species